CCCUUAGAUGCUCUGGGCCGCACGCGCGCUACACUGAUGAACGCAACGAGACGACCUGUACCGAAAGGCAUGGGUAAACUUGUGAAAGUUCAUCGUGAUGGGGAUAGAUUAUUGCAAUUAUUAAUCUUCAACGAGGAAUUCCUAGUAAGCGCGAGUCAUCAGCUCGCGUUGAUUACGUCCCUGCCCUUUGUACACACCGCCCGUCGCUCCUACCGAUUGAAUGCUCAGGUGAGCCAUUCGGACUUUCAUCAUGCUGGUUUCCAGUUUUGAUGAAGGAAAGUCUUGCGAACCUUAUCAUUUAGAGGAAGGAGAAGUCGUAACA
rnacentral:rRNA from 1 species